rnacentral:lncRNA from 1 species
CUGAAAUCUUCACAAUUCUAGCAUUUUAGUUGAAUUUUAGACGGUUUUCGUGUAAAACAAAAGUGGCCGCAUUCGUGCUCAUCCUUAAUAUUAAAAUGUAAGUUGUAUUUUAUGAUAAUACAUAACAUAUAUAAAGGUUGAGGAUGAACACAGAUGCGGCCACUUUCAUUUGUGAUAAAAACCAUCUGAAAAGUGACAUUGUUCGGCAUAUUUGGUAGAUUUUUCCUAUU